rnacentral:rRNA from 1 species
GACGAACGCUGGCGGCGUGCUUAACACAUGCAAGUCGAACGGAAAGGCCCUGCUUUUGUGGGGUGCUCGAGUGGCGAACGGGUGAGUAACACGUGAGUAACCUGCCCUUGACUUUGGGAUAACUUCAGGAAACUGGGGCUAAUACCGGAUAGGAGCUCCUGCUGCAUGGUGGGGGUUGGAAAGUUUCGGCGGUUGGGGAUGGACUCGCGGCUUAUCAGCUUGUUGGUGGGGUAGUGGCUUACCAAGGCUUUGACGGGUAGCCGGCCUGAGAGGGUGACCGGCCACAGUGGGACUGAGAUACGGCCCAGACUCCUACGGGAGGCAGCAGUGGGGAAUAUUGCACAAUGGGCGGAAGCCUGAUGCAGAAACGCCGCGUGCGGGAGGACGGCCUUCGGGUUGUAAACCGCUUUCGCCUGUGACGAAGCGUGAGUGACGGUAAUGGGUAAAGAAGCACCGGCUAACUACGUGC